UGGGCGCAAGCCUGAUCCAGCCAUGCCGCGUGAGUGAAGAAGGCCUUCGGGGUUGUAAAAGCUCUUUCGGCCGGAAGAAAUCGCAUGGGUCAAUACCCCUGUGUGGAUGACGGUACCGGAAUAAGAAGCACCGGCUAACUACGUGCCAGCAGCCGCGGUAAUACCGUAGGGUGCGAGCGUUAAUCGGAAUUACUGGGCGUAAAGCGUGCGCAGGCGGUUUGGUAAGUCAGAUGUGAAAAUCCCCGGGCUCAACCUGGGAACUGCAUUUGAGACUGCCAAGCUGGAGUUUGGCAGAGGGGGGUGGAAUUCCACGUGUAGCAGUGUAAAUGCGUAGAGAUGUGGAGGAACACCGAUGGCGAAGGCAGCCCCCCUUGGGGCCAAUACUGACGCUUCAUUGCACGAAAGCGUGGGGA
rnacentral:rRNA from 1 species